GUGAGUAGUUCAGAGUUUGAUCCUGGCUCAGGAUGAACGCUGGCGGCGUGCUUAACACAUGCAAGUCGAACGGACUUUUAUUGAAGCCUAGCGAUAUAAAAGUUAGUGGCGGACGGGUGAGUAACGCGUGAAUAACCUGCCUUAUACUGGGGGACAACAGUUGGAAACGACUGCUAAUACCGCAUAAGCGCACGGUCCUGCAUGGGACAGUGUGAAAAACUCCGGUGGUAUAAGAUGGAUUCGCGUCUGAUUAGCUAGUUGGUGAGGUAACGGCUCACCAAGGCGACGAUCAGUAGCCGGCCUGAGAGGGUGAACGGCCACAUUGGGACUGAGACACGGCCCAA
rnacentral:rRNA from 1 species